AUAAAUUUUAGUGUUAAUUUUAAAUUUAUUUUAAUAAUAAAUUAAUUAAUUUAUAGUAAUUAAUAUUAAAUUAUUUAAGAAAUUAAGAUUUAGUAAUAUAUUUAGUUUAAUAACAAAUUUUGUGCCAGCAGUUGCGGUUAAACAAAAAUUGAAUUAAAUUUUAUUAGUAAUUAAUUAAUAAAUAAAAUUAUAAUUUAAAUUUUAAAUUAUUAAGUGAAAUUUUAAUUUAUUAAAAUAUUAUUUUAAUUUUAUGAUUUAAUAAAAUUUAUUAAAAACUAGGAUUAGAUACCCUAUUAUUAAAAUUUUAAAUUUAAAAUACUAAAAUAUUAAGUGAUUAUUCAUUGAAACUUAAAUAAUUUGGCGGUAUUUUAGUUCAUUUAGAGGAAUCUGUUUAAUAAUUGAUAAUCCACGAAUAAAUUUACUUAAUUUAUAAUUUUGUAUAUCGUUGUUAAAAAAAUAUUUUUUAAUAAAAAUAAUAUUUAAAAAUUUAAAUAUAAAAUUAAAUCAGAUCAAGAUGCAGAUUAUAAUUAAGAAUAAUAAUGGAUUACAAUAAAUUUAUUUAAAUGAAUAUUAAUUUGAAACAAUUAAUUGAAAGUGGAUUUAAAUGUAAUUUUAUUUAGUUUAUUAAAAUGAUUAAAAAUUAAAAUAUGUACAUAUUGCCCGUCGCUUUCAUAUAAUGUAUAUAUAUAUAUAUAUAUAUAAUUAAAUUGAAAUAAGUCGUAACAAAGUAGAGGUACUGGAAAGUGUUUCUAGAAAGAC
rnacentral:ncRNA from 1 species